UGGGGUGGGAGUUGAAUCCCUCUUCCCGCUGUAAGUGCUAUCAAAUACCCUGUUCCUUUUGAGCCAACUAUGGCUCCAUUGGUAUUUAUUGUUUUUUAAAUGCUGCCUUAAACAGGAAAUUUAGCUCUUUUUUUAAUAAAAAGAAAUUGUUGGCUCCUUUUUCUUUUUCUUUCUUCCUGUAUGUUUGGAAGCUGCCUUCCUUGUAAUUGAUAAUUUUUGCAUCUAAAAUAUACAAGGGAAGCACAUCUUGUGAUUUGCGGUUAAGGUAACAUAUUGAUUCAAAUAUUUGAUUAAGAAAUGUGCAAGCUCUUCAAAUUUUCGCUCCAAAUUUUAACACGACUUGGAGAGGACAUUAGUAUCCUAAGUUUGGAACUAAUUUAGGAAGGAUGUGUCAUUUCAUUUUGUAGGAGGUGUCUGCUUUAUUGAUUUUUCAUGAAGAUAACCUACAUGCAUGAGUGUUUGAAUCUGUUUAUUACAGAAGGUGCACAGAAACAAGGGUCAUAAAAUUGAUGAAGUUGAAGUACUAUCUAAUUGCUGGUGGUUAAGUAUCUCCAAAAUGUGAUAGCCUGAGUAUUCACUUUGAUGUAUUGGGUCUCUGGUGCACGCGUCUUUUUUUUGCUUUACGAUAGAUUUAAUAUUUUGAGAAAUAAUUUAAGGUGAAAAGUACCAUGUACAAGACAGUGGCAACUUAUACCUUUAGAAUCCUUCAUUCACAGAUGCAGAAAAACAGUCAUAUUCUUCCUUCAUGAUUAAAAAUAAGGGUGUCUCCAACCCUGUAAUGGUUUGGGGAGGGAGGGGCUUCUAUUACAGAGCGAGUCAGAACUUGAUGCAAGAAAAGCCAUUGCUGUUUUUUGUUACAUACCAGCUCACUACAGAACUUAAUGUAACUAGAGAAAUCUCUUUAUCAUUUCAAUAGUUGAAUGUAAUGCCUAGUUUUGAGUUAAAUAAAUUUGUAGUGUUUGGCACUAUCAUAGUAAUUUUUGUGGAUAAUGGCUAUAUAACAUGAAUUAUAGAUAAGUAAUAGUCUGCACUCUGCAACGUGGCAACAAAGAGAAGAAUGUAUCCAGAUAGGUAAUGAAAGUAGCCAUUUGUCUUGUCCCUUAUUUUGGGUUCGUUUUGUGUUGGAAGUAGUUAAUUGUUAUCACUGCUCAUCACUACCACACUCAGCUUCUAUAUCAUGAUCAUAAAAAUGAAUGGUGAUUAUAGGUACUCGCCUAACAUAGAGGAAAUAAAGGUGCUAGACAAGAAGAAAGUGAGGAGGGCCAAGCUUUACUAUCUCAGAGACAAGAUGAACGCACUUAAGAAACAGUAGAAAGCUUUAUAAUUAGUGCAAGUUUGACUAUCCAUUUAUUGAGAAAGUGGAGUUAGUCAUGAUGGCGAAAAGUGAGAGCCAUUCGCAUUCCUUUUUUAAAUUUUGAUGUUAGUUCCUUCUUUCGAUUUCCUCCAUUUUGAAAUUGUGAGAAUUAGGAUGGUGAAAAUAUGUGAGGCUGCCAGUGGCAUUCACUGCAAGCUGCAAAAAGAUUUAAUAUGUUUUCAGCUAUGCAUCAUGAUAAAGUAUUCUUGUGCAUAGAUUUCACCUUUCAUUGAUCUAAUGUUACCUGUAGAUUUUCUUUGAUGAACUUAAUUUGCAUUUGUCUAGCGUGUGUAAUGUAAUGGUUUCUGUAGCUUAGAUACAGCUAUAUGUCUUGGUCUAUUUAAGUAAACUUAUGGGCAUGUCUCUCACACACUCAAGGCUGUGGGACCUAUUGAACAAUUUAUAGUUGAUAGAAGUAGGGUGGCUAUAUUUGAUUCAUGUUGCAAUAAUUGGUGCUAAUAAUGUAAAAUGGUCUGGUCAUCCUAGAGGAUGGUGACUUGGGUUUAAGAUAUCCGUCAAAGAUUUUUAUGCUGAAUCAUAUCCAAAUUAAUGAAAGUAAUUAAUUAAAUGUGCUGACCUCCACUUUGGAUUGGCUUUGCAUAUGUAGAUUAUAGGCACUUUGUGAUGAUAACUAUUCUAAGUGGAUGCAUCAAUUGUAUGUCAUGAUUGUGCACUUCUCAUUGCUUAAUGUUUAUAAUAAUAAUAAUAAAUGUUAUUUGUGACAGAUUAUAGUCAACCAUAUUUUUUAUCCUACCAUUUUGCUUGUUCUAGUUAGUUGAUGAGCUGGAAGCCUAGAAGGUGCUAAAUUCUUAUGAUUACAUGACAUCUGAGAAUACUUACCAGCUUUUCAAAACGCUGACCAUAUUCUUUUUUCUUUUGUUGAAUUUACAAGCCACGGGUUCUCCCAUGAGAGCCUACAUUAUUUGUGGGCAAGUAUUACAGUAAGGGAUUUUAUCCGAAAUGGGUUGUGGAUCUAUUUGGGGAACACUCGGAAGAGAUUGGGAACUUUAUACCUUUCCACUAUUGGUCUUAAGACCAAGGCGGUGGGGUAACUAGACUGUAAGUGGUUGACUAUAUUCUAUCGAGUCCUUUCUUUCCUUACUUUUAAUGAGUCUUGAGUCUUCUUUCAGUAUUUGAUAACUUUAGUAGCUUUAAUUUCAAGUUGAGAAAUGAUUCUACGAGUGAAGGUGAAUCAUGCAAAUCCCAUGGCUCUCAUUUUCUGCUGUCAAAAGAAUGUACCUUUCUUUGCAAUUAGAUUUUGGGGUCUGGUGCUUGAUUUUUGAAUAAACCUUGAGUUUGCCUACAAGUUGGUUUGAACUUUAAAGGUAAGCCAUUUUGAAAAGAGACUAGGUAACCGUGACACAUCCAAAUCUAGAUGUAUGGAUAUAUUAUGAUAUGAUAAUAUAGAUUAAUCUAUAUUUUUAUAUGGUACUAGUAAAAC
rnacentral:misc_RNA from 1 species